rnacentral:rRNA from 1 species
CCCUUAGAUGUUCUGGGCUGCACGCGUGCUACAAUGGCGUUUCCAGCAAGUCUGCGAACCCGAGAGGGCCAGCGGAUCUUCGAAUUGGCGUCGUGAUCGGGACAGUCGAUUGCAAUUAUUUGACUCAAACGAGGAAUUCCUUGUAAUCGCGAUUCAUCAUAUCGCGCUGAAUACGUCCCUGCCCUUUGUACACACCGCCCGUCGCUCCUACCGAUUGAGCGAUCCGGUAAAUGCUUUGGAUUGGUGCCGGGGCGGCUAGCUGCCGGUCGCUACGAAAUUUUGUGAACCUUAUCGCUUAGAGGAAGGAAAAGUCGUAACA